CCCUUAUAUAUAAAGAGCUCUUAAAAGUUGAGCAUGACAGAAAAUGAGCAAAAGACACAGACAACUGACAAAGCAAGAUGUAAAAAGUGGCCAUUAAUCUUAUGAAAAGGUGUUCUUAUUCACAAUAAGAGAAAAUGCUAAUUAAAACCUCAACUGAAAUACAAUUUCUUACAAAAAUUAAAAAGUAAAACAGCACACUAUAUUAGAAAGGUUGUGGGGAAACAGGUGUUUGCAUACUUUGUUGACAGGAACAUAAAUUCAUACAACAUGAAGGAAGGGAAUUUGGCAAUAUCUCUUAAAAAUACAUACAUGUUUGCCUUUUGUAUCUAGUAAACUCACUUCCGGGAAUUCACCUGGAAGCCAUGCCUCCAAUAAUUUGAAAAUAUAUAGAUAUGUAUGAGAAUAUAUAUUGUAGCAUUAUCCGUAAUUGGAAAACAUCAGAAGCCACUUACACACCCACAUACACAGGAGGCUGGUUGAAUGGUUACGGCAGUCAUGCAAUGGAAUAUUAUACAGCUGAAACAAAGAAUGAGGAGGACCCCUAUGAACAGAUGUAGAGUGAUUUCCAGGAUGUAGUGUGAAAAAAAGCAAAGCACAAAAAUGUACUAACAGUAUACCAAUUUCUUUUUUUGUAAGAACGAAGAGGAAAUUAUACCUGCAUGCUCAUGCCAAAAAUUACAGAAAGGAUAAACCUGGGAUUAGUAAGGAAGUAAGCAGGAAUGGGGUGGAAAGGGAGGACUACACUUCUUUUGUGUAUAGUUCUGACUUUUGUAACAUAUUAAUAUUUCACAAACUUGAAAAACAAUAAAAAUCAACAAGCGGGGGCUAAAAGGGAAUACAAAUACAAACCAAAACUAAAGAAACAUACUGUGUAUCAAAUAAAUCAUGAGGCCCCAACCUUUUUGGCACCAAGGACCAGUUUCGUGGAAGACAAUUUUUCCACGGACUGGGGCGGGUCCUUGGUGGAGGGCAGUUUGGAAUGAAACGGUUGCACCUCAGAUCAGGCAUUAGUUAGAUUCUCAUAAGGAGCACAAAACCUAGAUCCUUCGCAUGCACAGUUCACAACCAGAGUUCACGUUCCUAUGAGAAACUAAUGUUACGCUGAUCUGACAAGAGGCAGAGCUCAGGUGGUAAUGCUCAGUCGCCUGCCGCUCACCUCCUGCUGUGCGGCCAGGUUCCUAACAGGACACUGACCAGUACUGAUCCAUGGCCUGGGGACUGGGGACCCCUGAAAUAAAUAACAAACCACACUGGUGGGGUAGGAAAAGAGAAUAACCAACCCAAGGACAUUUUGGAUAAAGUUUUAGUCCCUAUGCCCUCAAACUAAAGACAAAAAGCUAACCAAAUAUAGGCUUCUUUGUCACAGAAAUAUGGGCUAGUAACUCUGAAAUCACUUCCUAUAUAUGUUAGGACUGAAAAAAAGCAAACAUAAAAAAUAAGAGAGCCAGGUUUAUUCUGGUUGAAGAAGGGAAUUACUAAUAUUAAAGGGGAAAGGAGAGAAUGAACCCUGGGCUGCUGGAAUAAUACUGGAAGUAUCAAUAUAUACACAUUGUUUUUGCUGUUGUGUUGGAGAGGUAGGUAAAUAUGUGUGUGUAUAUAAUAAACAGAUAAGUGUGUGUGUAACUCGAUACACACACACACACACACACACACACACACUCUCUCUCUCUCCCAGUCCUAUCCACUGAGAGGGACUAGAAGCAACAAUUCCUCAGCAACGAGGAGCACACCUAAAGCCCCAAUCUUGGUUUCUCAAUGCCCCCCCCUUCACUGAAAACAACCAAGCCUUCUUGGAGAAGUAACUGACUCCAUAACUAAAACAGGGAAGUUACGAGAUGAGCCUGGAACAUCCUCUGGUGCCAGAAAGCAAGAAAAUGUUCAAAGAAAAAUGGGGACAAGGCAAAAAGACAGAAGAGCCAGUCUGAAGGGGCUCCCACUGACCAAAUCUGGGAUAAUGUGGGCAAAGUAAAUACUACAACAGUAAAGAGUUAUAAUCCCUUGAAUAAAAUGAGAAGCCACAAGUCCGCUCAGCUAUAAAUUAACAAAUAGACAAGAGGGUAAAGCUCUUCCUUACGGUAAAAACCCAACCAAUCAAUGUAGAAGAAAUGAUGGAAUUAGUAAAUCACCCCUUAGCAACCACAACCAUAUUUAAGUCUUAAAGUAUCUUUCCGGAAGAUACACAUUAACUACAAAAAGAAAAACAGAAAUUCUUUGUACUAUUUUUUACAAUUUUUCUAUAAAUGUGAAAUUGUAUCCAAAUAUAAGGCUAACAAAAACUCUUAGUUUUAUGGAAAUCUUAAUUUCUCUUAGCUCUCAAUAAUGACAGUCAGAAAACCUUUUUUUUCUUUUUUUUUUUUUUUUUUUUUUUUUUCAAAACUCCCUUUACCUCACCUCAAAUGACUUUUGAGGAGGGCUAGAGUCUCCUGGUCUGGCACUGGCACCUGGUCAGGAACUCGGAGCCCAUCUCUGGGGUCACUAACAGGCUGACUGGAAGGAGGCAGCUCAGGCCUCACUGUCACACACUGAUCUGGAGGUCUCUCUGGUAGUGCCAUUAUUUUGGUGAUUGAUAUUUGAACUCCUUUGCUCUUGUUUCAAUUUGGUAAAUCUACAAGGGAACUCUCUCCCUCUGGUUUACUUAGUUUACCUCCUCCUUACCAUAGGAAAUCGUGUUGUAGGCAUAAUUUCCACAUGUGUAAACUGACAUGCUCUGAGGACAAAAGAAUGAUGACAGUUAACAUUUUCCGAGCAUUUUUAAAAUUGUCAGACUGUAUUUCAUUGAACUCUCAUGAUAAAACUGAUAGAGACUUCUUUAUCUUUUUACUUGAUAAAAGGUUUUACUCACAACUUCUUCAGAAGUGCAUCAAUUUAUUAACAGUGCCAACUACAACAAGAGAGAAUGACAGAAAACCCAUGGCACCUGAUGCUUUCAUUUUCUAGGGUGGGGUAAAUUUUCUGAGGCUGUUCGGUUACAAAAUGGCCUCAGUCUUCUUCAGCAGAAUGAUUACUGACUCUGAAAACAUCCUAGCUCAUCACAAUAUCUGUCUGGGCCAGGUGUACUGCUUACAACAGAAUCUACAAGGACAACAACUCACCGUGUUUUUCAAUUCAGAUUUUUAAGUUAUGAAUUCAAAUCUACUAAAUAAAUAUCAGAAACAAACAAAAACAGAUAAAGCUAUAGCUCACUGCAUUUUAGAACCUGAGUGAUGUCAUGGUUCUCUAGAGCUUUCAUUCCACAGGAGAGUUCUUGUCUCUAGGGCCUCGCACACUAUGCACAGGUGAAGGGACGAAGUGUAGCCCCACAGGGUAGAAUUCAUGAUCAGAGGACAGGGAAAUACUGCUUUAUUCAUUUUUCUAUUAUUGUAGAAGUUUUUAUCCUCUCUAAAAAAAUACUUAUUGGUUAUACACAGAAGUUAGUCAACUUUUACACCAAUUACACAUUUUCCAGAAAAAUUCAUAAAAUAUCAAACAUACAAAAGUUGGUUAAAAAAUGGCCUCCCAGGCCAUGAUGACUAAAGAAAUCAUACCAAAGUUUCUUAAUUUCCCAACUUUAAAAAAAAAUGGUCGUUUACUACUUGGAAAAUAUAGCCCCCCAUUAAAAACAGAAUCACAAUUUACUUACAAGUUUUUGUAUUUCACAUAGAAUUCCUCAAUUU
rnacentral:lncRNA from 1 species